GACGAACCGAGCGAACGUUGUUCGGAAUCACUGGGCUUAAAGGGCGCGUAGGCGGGCCUGCCAGUCUGUGGUGAAAUCCUCCGGCUCAACCGGAGAACUGCCUCGGAUACUGCGGGUCUCGAGGGUGAUAGGGGUAUGCGGAACUAUCGGUGGAGCGGUGAAAUGCGUUGAUAUCGAUAGGAACUCCGGUGGCGAAGGCGGCCUUCUGGACAGUGACUGACGCUGAGACGCGAAAGCGUGGGGAGCAAACAGG
rnacentral:rRNA from 1 species